GAUGAACGCUAGCGGCAGGCUUAACACAUGCAAGUCGAGGGGUAUAGGGAGCUUGCUUCCUAGAGACCGGCGCGCGGGUGCGUAACGCGUAUGCAAUCUACCUUUUGCAGAGGAUAGCCCAGAGAAAUUUGGAUUAAUACCUCAUAGUAUGUGAGAAUGGCAUCAUUUUCACAUUAAAGUCACAACGGCAAAAGAUGAGCAUGCGUCCCAUUAGCUUGUUGGUAAGGUAACGGCUUACCAAGGCAACGAUGGGUAGGGUCCUGAGAGGGAGAUCCCCCACACUGGUACUGAGACACGGACCAGACUCCUACGGGAGGCAGCAGUGAGGAAUAUUGGACAAUGGCGCAAGCCUGAUCCAGCCAUGCCGCGUGCAGGAUGACGGUCCUAUGGAUUGUAAACUGCUUUUUGUACAGGAAGAAACCCUUUCACGUGUGGAAGAUUGACGGUACUGUAGGAAUAAGG
rnacentral:rRNA from 1 species